GAUGAAGAACGUAGCGAAAUGCUAUAAGUAAUGUGAAUUGCAGAAUUCAGUGAAUCAUCGAAUCUUUGAACGCACAUUGCGCCCAUUAGUAUUCUAGUGGGCAUGCCUGUUCGAGCGUCAUUUCAACCCUUAAGCCUAGCUUAGUAUUGGGAAUCGACUUUACUGUCGUUCCUCAAAUUCAACGGCGGAUUUAUAGCAAUCUCUGAACGUAGUAAUUUUUUUCCUCGUUUUUGAAAUACUAUAAACCUCAGCCGCUAAACCCCCAAUUUUUCUAUGGUUGACCUCGGAUCAGGUAGGAAUACCCGCUGAACUUAAGCAUAUCAAUAAGCGGAGGA
rnacentral:misc_RNA from 1 species